AUGCUCCCACGGCUCCUGUCACACCGGCUGGCGGGUUGUGGCGGUGCCAGCCAGUGUGUGCGAGUGUGUCUGCGUGCCCGCGCCUGGGCGGACCGACCCGGAGCAGCAGUGCGCCUCGCCCCGGGGAGGCGGCUCCGCACCGGCGCCUUGCCCGCAGCCGCUGCGGGGGGUUCCUCCGGCAAAGGCGCCUGGAGCGCGUGCGGCUCGCGGGGCCCGCGGGUGGCCGGGGCGGCGGGGCCGCGCCGUGCCUUCGCCCUUGGCCGGCGCCCUCGAGAGCCCCAUGCAGCCCCCGCGCUCGCGGCCGCAGCUGCCCAGCUGCCCGGGGCAGGUCGGGGACCAGAGCCGCGCUCCCCAGCNAGGUUCAACAAGUGGCUGCUGACGCCGGUGCUCACUCUCCUCUUCGUGGUCAUCAUGUACCAGUACGUGUCCCCCUCCUGCUCCAGCUCCUGCGCCAACUUCGGGGAGCAGCCCCGCGCCGGAGAGGCCGGCCAGCCGGCCGCCCCGAGUCCCGCCCGCCGGGCACAGGCGCCGCCCGAGGACUGGGAGCGGCGGCCCCAGCUGCCCCCGCCACCCCGGGGGCCGCCCGAGGGGCCUCGGGGGGCCGCGGCGCCGGAGGACGAGGACGAGGAGCCGGGGGACCCCGAGGACGAGGAGGAGGAGGCGGCGGAGGAGGAGGAGGAGGAACCGGACCCCGAGGCCCCCGAGAACGGCUCCUUGCCGCGCUUCGUGCCGCGCUUCAACUUCACCCCGAAGGACCUGACCCGCUUCGUGGAUUUCAACAUCAAGGGGCGCGACGUGAUCGUCUUCCUGCACAUCCAGAAGACCGGGGGCACCACGUUCGGCCGGCACCUGGUGAAGAACAUCCGGCUGGAGCAGCCGUGCAGCUGCAAAGCCGGCCAGAAGAAGUGCACCUGCCACCGGCCCGGCAAGAAGGAGACGUGGCUCUUCUCCCGCUUCUCCACCGGCUGGAGCUGCGGGCUGCACGCCGACUGGACGGAGCUCACCAACUGUGUGCCGGCCAUCAUGGAGAAGAAGGACUGUCCCCGCAACCACAGCCACACCAGGUACUGUCCCCGCGCCGCGGCUCGCUUCCGGCCACCUUCCUCCCCCUCCAGCCCGCCCCCAGUCCCGACCACCCGGCCCCCCAGCCCCGGGCGACCCCGCGCUCCCUCCGCGGCGCCGGGCGGCUGGUUCCCCAGCAUCGUCCCGCGGUGCGGGCAGAGGUUUUGGAAGAGGGAGAAGAAACCUUUGGAAAGUGUCCUGGUCUUGAACUCGCUCCUCCUUCAACUCAUUCUGAAAGCAUUUGUUAAAGGCUUCCUGUGUGCCUGGCAGUGUGCUCAAUGCUAG